GAAAUGCGAUACGUAAUGUGAAUUGCAAAUUCAGUGAAUCAUCGAGUCUUUGAACGCACAUUGUGCCCCCUGGUAUUCCGGGGGGCAUGCCUGUCCGAGCGUCAUUUCUGCCCUCAAGCACGGCUUGUGUGUUGGGCCCCGUCCUCCGAUCCCGGGGGACGGGCCCGAAAGGCAGCGGCGGCACCGCGUCCGGUCCUCGAGCGUAUGGGGCUUUGUCACCCGCUCUGUAGGCCCGGCCGGCGCUUGCCGAUCAACCCAAAUUUUUAUCCAGGUUGACCUCGGAUCAGGUAGGGAUACCCGCUGAACUUAAGC
rnacentral:misc_RNA from 1 species